rnacentral:rRNA from 1 species
UAUCCUGUCUGAAUAUGGGGGGACCAUCCUCCAAGGCUAAAUACUCCUGACUGACCGAUAGUGAACCAGUACCGUGAGGGAAAGGCGAAAAGAACCCCGGCGAGGGGAGUGAAAAAGAACCUGAAACCGUGUACGUACAAGCAGUGGGAGCACAGAGCAAUCUGUGUGACUGCGUACCUUUUGUAUAAUGGGUCAGCGACUUAUAUUCUGUAGCAAGGUUAACCGAAUAGGGGAGCCGAAGGGAAACCGAGUCUUAACUGGGCGUUAAGUUGCAGGGUAUAGACCCGAAACCCGGUGAUCUAGCCAUGGGCAGGUUGAAGGUUGGGUAACACUAACUGGAGGACCGAACCGACUAAUGUUGAAAAAUUAGCGGAUGACUUGUGGCUGGGGGUGAAAGGCCAAUCAAACCGGGAGAUAGCUGGUUCUCCCCGAAAGCUAUUUAGGUAGCGCCUCGUGAAUUCAUCUCCGGGGGUAGAGCACUGUUUCGGCAAGGGGGUCAUCCCGACUUACCAACCCGAUGCAAACUGCGAAUACCGGAGAAUGUUAUCACGGGAGACACACGGCGGGUGCUAACGUCCGUCGUGAAGAGGGAAACAACCCAGACCGCCAGCUAAGGUCCCAAAGUCAUGGUUAAGUGGGAAACGAUGUGGGAAGGCCCAGACAGCCAGGAUGUUGGCUUAGAAGCAGCCAUCAUUUAAAGAAAGCGUAAUAGCUCACUGGUCGAGUCGGCCUGCGCGGAAGAUGUAACGGGGCUAAACCAUGCACCGAAGCUGCGGCAGCGACGCUGAUGCGUUGUUGGGUAGGGGAGCGUUCUGUAAGCCUGUGAAGGUGUGCUGUGAGGCAUGCUGGAGGUAUCAGAAGUGCGAAUGCUGACAUAAGUAACGAUAAAGCGGGUGAAAAGCCCGCUCGCCGGAAGACCAAGGGUUCCUGUCCAACGUUAAUCGGGGCAGGGUGAGUCGACCCCUAAGGCGAGGCCGAAAGGCGUAGUCGAUGGGAAACAGGUUAAUAUUCCUGUACUUGGUGUUACUGCGAAGGGGGGACGGAGAAGGCUAUGUUGGCCGGGCGACGGUUGUCCCGGUUUAAGCGUGUAGGCUGGUUUUCCAGGCAAAUCCGGAAAAUCAAGGCUGAGGCGUGAUGACGAGGCACUACGGUGCUGAAGCAACAAAUGCCCUGCUUCCAGGAAAAGCCUCUAAGCAUCAGGUAACAUCAAAUCGUACCCCAAACCGACACAGGUGGUCAGGUAGAGAAUACCAAGGCGCUUGAGAGAACUCGGGUGAAGGAACUAGGCAAAAUGGUGCCGUAACUUCGGGAGAAGGCACGCUGAUAUGUAGGUGAAGUCCCUCGCGGAUGGAGCUGAAAUCAGUCGAAGAUACCAGCUGGCUGCAACUGUUUAUUAAAAACACAGCACUGUGCAAACACGAAAGUGGACGUAUACGGUGUGACGCCUGCCCGGUGCCGGAAGGUUAAUUGAUGGGGUCAGCGCAAGCGAAGCUCUUGAUCGAAGCCCCGGUAAACGGCGGCCGUAACUAUAACGGUCCUAAGGUAGCGAAAUUCCUUGUCGGGUAAGUUCCGACCUGCACGAAUGGCGUAAUGAUGGCCAGGCUGUCUCCACCCGAGACUCAGUGAAAUUGAACUCGCUGUGAAGAUGCAGUGUACCCGCGGCAAGACGGAAAGACCCCGUGAACCUUUACUAUAGCUUGACACUGAACAUUGAGCCUUGAUGUGUAGGAUAGGUGGGAGGCUUUGAAGUGUGG